rnacentral:rRNA from 1 species
GAUGAACGCUAGCGACAGGCUUAACACAUGCAAGUCGAGGGGCAGCACAGGUAGCAAUACCGGGUGGCGACCGGCGCACGGGUGAGUAACGCGUAUGCAACUUACCUAUCAGAGGGGGAUAACCCGGCGAAAGUCGGACUAAUACCGCAUGAAGCAGGGGUCCCGCAUGGGGAUAUUUGCUAAAGAUUCAUCGCUGAUAGAUAGGCAUGCGUUCCAUUAGGCAGUUGGCGGGGUAACGGCCCACCAAACCGACGAUGGAUAGGGGUUCUGAGAGGAAGGUCCCCCACAUUGGUACUGAGACACGGACCAAACUCCUACGGGAGGCAGCAGUGAGGAAUAUUGGUCAAUGGCCGAGAGGCUGAACCAGCCAAGUCGCGUGAGGGAUGAAGGUUCUAUGGAUCGUAAACCUCUUUUAUAAGGGAAUAAAGUGCGGGACGUGUC